rnacentral:rRNA from 1 species
CUUUACUGUAGCCUGGUAUUGGGUUCGGGCUUUGACUGCGCAGGAUAGGUGGGAGACUAUGAAGCUGCCCUUGUGGGGGCAGUGGAGUCAUCAGUGAGAUACCACUCUGUCAAGGCUAGAAUUCUAACCGUCUGCCGUUAUCCGGCGACGGAACUGUAUCAGGUGGGCAGUUUGACUGGGGCGGUCGCCUCCUAAAUGGUAACGGAGGCGCGCAAAGGUUCCCUCAGGCUGGUUGGAAAUCAGCCGAAGAGUGUAAAGGCAGAAGGGAGCUUGACUGCAAGAGCAACAACUCAAGCAGGGACGAAAGUCGGCCUUAGUGAUCCGACGGCGCUGAGUGGAAGGGCCGUCGCUCAACGGAUAAAAGUUA